rnacentral:rRNA from 1 species
GAAGCUGGGAAAGGGCACACGGAGGAUGCCUAGGCGGCGGGAGCCGAAGAAGGACGUGCUAAGCUGCGAAAAGCCCGGGGGAGGUGCACAGGACCUGUGAUACCGGGAUAUCCGAAUGGGAGAACCUGCAUACCUGGAGGGUAUGCGCGAGAGAGGUAAGCCGGCGAACUGAAACAUCUAAGUAGCCGGAGGAGAAGAAAGUAAAAACGAUUCCCUGAGUAGCGGCGAGCGAACGGGGAGGAGCCUAAACCGUAUAUGUGUUAAAGCUGGCGGCGUUGCAUAUACGGGGUAGAGGGAACAUACUGGACUGAUGCCAUAAGGUCGAGUUGGUCAUGAUGUAAGCGGAACGCGGCUGGAAAGCCGGACCGUAGGAGGUGAGAGUCCUGUAUAGCGUAAAGUCAUGACGGCUUGUAUGUAAUCCCGAGUAGCAUCGGACACGAGGAAUCCGGUGUGAAUCAGCGUGGACCAUAUCACGUAAGGCUAAAUACUUCCGCCGACCGAUAGAGGAGAGUACCGUGAGGGAAAGGUGAAAAGAACCCUGAGCAAGGGAGUGAAAUAGAAUUUGAAACCGUGUGCUUACAAGCGGUAGGAGCCCUUAGGGGUGACUGCGUGGAUUUUGGUUAAUCAUCCUGCGAGUUAUGAUGUGUGGCGAGGUUAAGUGUAAGCGGAGCCGAAGGGAAACCGAGUCUUAAUAGGGCGACGAGUCGCAUGUCAUAGACGCGAAACCUAGUGAUCUAGGCCUGUCCAGGCUGAAGCUGAGGUAAGACUCAGUGGAGGGCCGAACUCACCGCCGUUGAAAAGUUGGGAGAGUUGAAGAUAUGCGGGGGUAGAGCACUGUAUGGCCUAGGGGGCGUAUAGCUUACCGAAGUCAAGCAAACUGCGAAUACCGUAUAUUGUUUACCAGGAGUGAGUCUACGGAUGACAAGGUCCGUGGACGAGAGGGGAACAGCCCGGACCGCCGGCUAAGGUCCCAAAUCAUGUCUAAGUGGGAAAGGAGGUGGAUAUUCACAGACAACCAGGAGGUUGGCUUAGAAGCAGCCAUACCUUGAAAGAGUGCGUAAUAGCUCACUGGUCGAGAGUAUCUGCGCCGAAGAUAUAACGGGGCUAAGACAUGAACCGAAGCCGCGGAAUUAGUUUAUGCUAAUUGGUAGGAGAGCGUUCUGUAGGCCGUAGAAGGGGUGUUGUAAGACAUUCUGGAGGUAUCAGAAGUGAGAAUGCAGGAAUGAGUAGCGAGAAGGAGGGCGAGAAUCCCUCCGGCCGGAAGUCCAAGGUUUCCAGGGGAAGGUUUGUCCGCCCUGGGGGAGUCGGGACCUAAGCAUAAGCAGAGCUGCGAAGGCGAAUGGAAAACAGGUUAAUAUUCCUGUACCGCUGUGUACUGUCUGAGAGAUGGAGUGACGCAGGAAGGUAUGCGGGAAGGCUGACGGAAUAGCCUUUCUAAGGGUGAAGCGUGGACAUGCAGGCAAAUCCGCAUGUUUAUACGUGAGGCCUGAUGGGGAAGUGCCAUAUGGCAUAAGCCGCAGAUCCUACACUGCCGGGAAAAACUUCUAUUGAGGGAAACAGCGCCCGUACUGUAAACCGACACAGGUGGACAGAGUGAGAAACUUAAGGCCGACAGGACAACUCUGGCUAAGGAACUCUGCAAAAUGGCCCCGUAACUUAGGGAGAAGGGGUACCCGUGAUACCUGAAGGGAGAGACACCUGAAGGGGAGACGGGUCGCAGUGAAGAGUCCCAAGCAACUGUUUACCAAAAACACAGGUCUAUGCUAAGCUGGAAGGCGACGUAUAUGGGCUGACACCUGCCCAGUGCCGGAAGGUUAAGAGGAGGAUUGAGAGAUUCGAAUUGAAGCCCCGGUGAACGGCGGCCGUAACUAUAACGGUCCUAAGGUAGCGAAAUUCCUUGUCGGGUAAGUUCCGACCUGCACGAAUGGUGAAAUGAUUU